rnacentral:rRNA from 1 species
UACGAAGGGGGCUAGCGUUGCUCGGAAUCACUGGGCGUAAAGGGUGCGUCGGCGGGUUUUUAAGUCAGGGGUGAAAUCCUGGAGCUCAACUCCAGAACUGCCUUUGAUACUGAAGAUCUUGAGUCCGGGAGAGGUGAGUGGAACUGCGAGUGUAGAGGUGAAAUUCGUAGAUAUUCGCAAGAACACCAGUGGCGAAGGCGGCUCACUGGCCCGGUACUGACGCUGAGGCACGAAAGCGUGGGGAGCAAACAGG